AUACUUACUGGACGGGGUCAAUGGACGAUCAGCAAUGUCCAUGGCCUAGGUUAGUGACCUCCAUUGCACUUAGGAGGGGUGCUUGUCUAAGGUCUCCCCAAAGUGGAAGAGCCUACGACAUAAUUUGUGGUACUGAGGGUCUGCGUUUGAUCGGCUCCUUC